UUCGCAAUGCCCGAAAGGGUGACGAAGCGACGCCGCGUGCGGGAAGAAGGCCUUCGGGUUGUAAACCGCUGUCGGGAGUUAAGAAAUGCAAGGGUGUUAACAGCAUCCUUGCUUGACUAAGGCUCCGGAGGAAGCCACAGCUAACUCUGUGCCAGCAGCCGCGGUAAUACAGAGGCGGCAAGCGUUGUUCGGAAUUAUUGGGCGUAAAGAGCACGUAGGCGGCCGUGUAAGUCGGUUGUGAAAGCCUUCCGCUCAACGGGAGAACGGCAUCCGAUACUGCAUGGCUUGAGUGCGGGAGGGGAGAGUGGAACUUCUGGUGGAGCGGUGAAAUGCGUAGAUAUCAGAAGGAACACCGGCGGCGAAGGCGACUCUCUGGCCCGUAACUGACGCUGAGUGUGCGAAAGCUAGGGGAGCAAACGGGAUUAGAUACCCCGGUAGUCCUAGCCGUAAACGAUGGGCACUAAGUAGAGGGGUUUU
rnacentral:rRNA from 1 species